rnacentral:rRNA from 1 species
AUUGAACGCUGGCGGCAGGCCUAACACAUGCAAGUCGAGCGGAUGAGUGGAGCUUGCUCCAUGAUUCAGCGGCGGACGGGUGAGUAAUGCCUAGGAAUCUGCCUGGUAGUGGGGGACAACGUUUCGAAAGGAACGCUAAUACCGCAUACGUCCUACGGGAGAAAGUGGGGGAUCUUCGGAACGCACGCUAUCAGGUGAGCCUAGGUCGGAUUAGCUAGUUGGAGAGGUAAAGGCUCACCAAGGCGAAGAUCCGUAACUGGUCUGAGAGGAUGAUCAGUCACACUGGAACUGAGACACGGUCCAGACGCCUACGGGAGGCAGCAGUGGGGAAUAUUGGACAAUGGGCGAAAGCCUGAUCCAGCCAUGCCGCGUGUGUGAAGAAGGUCUUCGGAUUGUAAAGCACUUUAAGUUGGGAGGAAGGGCAGUAAGUUAAUACCUUGCUGUUUUGACGUUACCAACAGAAUAAGCACCGGCUAACUUCGUGCCAGCCGCCGCGGUAAGAC